rnacentral:ncRNA from 1 species
AAUGAGUUUUAUUCUUGCUUUUCCAUUCAAUUUAUGUUUGUUCUAUAUGUAAGUCUGUGCGUGUUUUCUUGCGGUUCUAGAUGGGUUGCUAGGGAGGUUUUAAUUCUCAUUAGUUGUUAUUGGUUGAUCAAAUAUUUUUGUAUCUAGUAAUAUAUUUUAGUUUCGGUUAAAUUUUGUGCCAGCAGCCGCGGUUAUACCUUGGAGGCGUUUGAAUGUGUUUGGCUUAUUGUAGUUGUAUUAUUUAUUUAGUUGAUUAUAUCUGGGUUAGUUUAUUAGGUGGAAUUUUUAUUUUUUGUAUUUGUCUUUUAUAAAUUUGGAGGCUGUGAAAUUCUUUUUAUAAACUAGGAUUAGAUACCCUAUUAUUUUGGAAUGUUAAGUUUUAUAUGUGCUUGAGUAGUAUUAGUUAUGUUCUUGAAACUUAAAGAAUUUGGCGGUAUCUCAUUCCGUUCAGAGGAAUCUGUCUCGUUAUCGAUAGUCCGCGUUGGACCUUGCUUAGAUUGCUUGAUGGUUUGUAUACCGCCGUUUAUUGAUUAUCUUUUUAGGGUUAAGUAAUUUUCUGGUUUCUUUAUUUUGAUUUAUUUCAGGUCAAGGUGCAGCUUGUUUCUAAGUGUAUGAUGGAUUACAUUGUUAUUUGUUUCUGGAUUGUUGGUUUCAAUAUUAGCAUGAAAUUGGAUUUGGUUGUAAUAAUUUGUAGAUUGUUUUUAUGAUAUUGGUUUUGGGAUAUGUACACAUCGCCCGUCGCUCUCGUUCAGUAUUUAUUAAUGAGAUAAGUCGUAACAAAGUGGUUGUACCGGAAGGUGCAGCUGGAUUGAA